UGCACUUUGGGAUAAGCCUGGGAAACUGGGUCUAAUACCGAAUAGGACACACUAUCUUUACGGUGGUGUGUGGAAAGCUUUUGCGGUGUGGGAUGAGCCUGCGGCCUAUCAGCUUGUUGGUGGGGUAAUGGCCUACCAAGGCGUCGACGGGUAGCCGGCCUGAGAGGGUGUACGGCCACAUUGGGACUGAGACACGGCCCAGACUCCUACGGGAGGCAGCAGUGGGGAAUAUUGCACAAUGGGCGAAAGCCUGAUGCAGCGACGCCGCGUGGGGGAUGAAGGCCUUCGGGUUGUAAACUCCUUUCGCUAGGGACGAAGAGUUACAUUGACGGUACCUGGAGAAGAAGCACCGGCUAACUACGUGCCAGCAGCCGCGGUAAUACGUAGGGUGCGAGCGUUGUCCGGAAUUACUGGGCGUAAAGAGCUCGUAGGUGGUUUGUCGCGUCGUCUGUGAAAUCCCGGGGCUUAACUCCGGGCGUGCAGGCGAUACGGGCAUAACUUGAGUGCUGUAGGGGAGACUGGAAUUCCUGGUGUAGCGGUGAAAUGCGCAGAUAUCAGGAGGAACACCAAUGGCGAAGGCAGGUCUCUGGGCAGUAACUGACGCUGAGGAGCGAAAGCAUGGGUAGCGAACAGGAUUAGAUAC
rnacentral:rRNA from 1 species